GGGGGUCCGUCGCGCGCCGACGUUAUGAGCGGCGUGAGGAAAGUCCGGGCAACACAGAGCACCAUACCGGUUAAUCUGCCGGCGGUCGGCAACGGCCGAGCAGCGUGACAGAGAACGACCGCCGCCCCCGAGGCGGCAAGGGUGAAAAGGUGGGGUAAGAGCCCACCGGGCGUCAUGGCAACAUGGCGUGCCGCACGUCUUAUGGGUUGCAAGGUCAAGUACACCGGCAUUUAAGGGCUGCUCGCCCAUUGCCGGGGGGUAGACUGCUUCAGACGCCGUGAGAGCGGCGCCGCAGAUAAAUGACGGACGGGAGCUGUUGUCUCCGCGCUCCGCCCCCGGGCGGAGAUGCGCCGAUAGUGACGCGCCCACAUAACCCGGCUUAUACCCGGCCCC
rnacentral:RNase_P_RNA from 1 species